rnacentral:rRNA from 1 species
CCUACGGGAGGCAGCAGUGGGGAAUUUUGGACAAUGGGCGAAAGCCUGAUCCAGCAAUGCCGCGUGAGUGAAGAAGGCCUUCGGGUUGUAAAGCUCUUUUGUCAGGGAAGAAACGGUGAAAGCUAAUAUCUUUUGCUAAUGACGGUACCUGAAGAAUAAGCACCGGCUAACUACGUGCCAGCAGCCGCGGUAAUACGUAGGGUGCAAGCGUUAAUCGGAAUUACUGGGCGUAAAGCGUGCGCAGGCGGUUUUGUAAGUCUGAUGUGAAGUCCCCGGGCUCAACCUGGGAAUUGCAUUGGAGACUGCAAGGCUAGAAUCUGGCAGAGGGGGGUAGAAUUCCACGUGUAGCAGUGAAAUGCGUAGAUAUGUGGAGGAACACCGAUGGCGAAGGCAGCCCCCUGGGUCAAGAUUGACGCUCAUGCACGAAAGCGUGGGGAGCAAACAGGAUUAGAUACCCUGGUAGUCCACGCCCUAAACGAUGUCUACUAGUUGUCGGGUCUUAAUUGACUUGGUAACGCGAGCUACGCGUGAGUAGACCGCCGUCGGGNGGUACGGUCGCGAGAGUUAAACGUUAACGUAAGUAGUAGUAGACGNGAGAGAGCGACGACGACGACGACGGAGGGAGGAGG